CCUACGGGCGGCAGCAGUGAGGAAUAUUGGUCAAUGGGCGUAAGCCUGAACCAGCCAAGUCGCGUGAGGGAUGAAGGUUCUAUGGAUCUUAAACCUCUUUUAUAAGGGAAUAAAGUGUGGGACGUGUCCUGUUUUGUAUGUACCUUAUGAAUAAGGAUCGGCUAACUCGGUGCCAUAAGCGGCGGUAAUACGGAGGAUCCGAGCGUUGUCCGGUUUUAUUGGGUUUAAAGGGUGCGUAGGCGGCCUUUUAAGUCAGAGGUGAAAGUCUGUGGCUCUACCAUAGAAGUGCCGUUGAAACUGGGAGGCUUGAGUGUGUUUGAGGCAGGCGGAAUGCGUGGUGUAGCGGUGAAAUGCUUAGAUAUCACGCAGAACCCCAAUGGCGAAGGCAGCCUGCCAGGCCAUGACUGACGCUGAGGCACGAAAGCGUGGGGAUCAAACAGGAUUAGAUACCCUUGUAGUC
rnacentral:rRNA from 1 species